rnacentral:rRNA from 1 species
AGUGAACGCUGGCGGUAGGCCUAACACAUGCAAGUCGAACGGCAGCACAGUAAGAGCUUGCUCUUACGGGUGGCGAGUGGCGGACGGGUGAGGAAUACAUCGGAAUCUACUUUUUCGUGGGGGAUAACGUAGGGAAACUUACGCUAAUACCGCAUACGACCUACGGGUGAAAGCAGGGGAUCUUCGGACCUUGCGCGAUUGACUGAGCCGAUGUCGGAUUAGCUAGUUGGCGGGGUAAAGGCCCACCAAGGCGACGAUCCGUAGCUGGUCUGAGAGGAUGAUCAGCCACACUGGAACUGAGACACGGUCCAGACUCCUACGUGAGGCAGCAGUGGGGAAUAUUGGACAAUGGGCGCAAGCCUGAUCCAGCCAUACCGCGUGGGUGAAGAAGGCCUUCGGGUUGUAAAGCCCUUUUGUUGGGAAAGAAAAGCAGCAGGUUAAUACCCCGCUGUUCUGACGGUACCCAAAGAAUAAGCACCGGCUAACUUCGUG